AGCUCCAAUAGCGUAUAAUAAAGUUUUUGCAGUUAAAAAGCUUGUAGUUGGAUUUCUGGCAGGAGCGAUCCAGCACACACUCUGUGUGUGAACUUGUGUCGUCUCUGGCCAUGCUUGGGGAGAUCCUGUUUGGCAUUAAGUUGUUAGGCAGAGGAUAUCCAUUGUUUACUGUGAAACAUUAGAGUGUUUAAAGCAGGCUUAUGCCGUUGAAUAUAUUAGCAUGGAAAAAUAAGAUAGGACUUCGGAACUAUGUUGUUGGUUUGUGUUACAAGGUAAUGAUUAAUAGAGACAGUUGGGGGUGUUCAAAUGUUGUUGUCAGAGAUGAAAGUCUUGGAUUUCCGAAAGACGAACUACUGCGAAAGCAUUUACCAAGGAUGUUUUCA
rnacentral:rRNA from 1 species